rnacentral:rRNA from 1 species
UACGUAGGGGGCAAGCGUUGUCCGGAAUCAUUGGGCGUAAAGCGCGCGUAGGCGGCUAGAUCAGUCUGCUGUAAAAGUCAAAGGCUCAACCUUUGAAAGCCGGUGGAUACUGUCUAGCUAGAGUCCGGAAGAGGCGGAGUGGAAUUCCGUGGUGUAGCGGUGAAAUGCGCAGAUAUCAGGAAGAACACCCGUGGCGAAGGCGGCUCACUGGCCCGGUACUGACGCUGAGGUGCGAAAGCGUGGGGAGCAAACAGG